AUGGAUCAGAUUUUGCCCGAGUUCGAGUACGUGUGCAUCAGCGCCUUCGUGCGUUUGGGUGUCUCAUCUCAUAGCAGAUUCGUUGUGAUGAUCGCAGAGCGGCCGGUGUCUUUCGAGAGGAUUCUGACCGCCUACGUGGAGCAAUCGCCUUCCUCCCUGUCAGUCGCAGAGGGAGAGCCGGCCACUCUCUCGUGUACGCUGCUGAAUACGGGCUAUCCAAAUAUGUACUGGUACAGACAGCGAUCCGGCCGGGCAAUUGAUGUUCUCUUCUAUUCUGCUGGGCAAGGUUUAGCUAUGAACUACACAUCUGAUUCCUACGCGGCGACAAGACCCAGCGAUACGCUGUUUAAACUGGAACUGAGGCGGGCAUCGUCCUCCCACUCCGCCGUCUACUUCUGCGCUUGUAGUAGCGCACAGAGCUUGAAGUAA